GGACUGCAGGGACUGCAUUGGGACCAUGGGCCCCGAGGGCUUGUGUGACCAGCACUCCAGCUCCACAAAGAACCUUGAAGCCAUCAUGCCUAUUAUAAUGCAUUUAUAUGAAUGGUCAUUAGGAUAGCACAUAAGGAAUUCCCUGUCAUUUCAGUAAGUUCUGUCAUGUCCUGAUAGGCUCUGUGUUGCCGGUCAUACUGCCAUGCUAAUGCCAGGGAGGUCGUGGUUGACCGUAGUUUACAGAUCAUGAGGAAUGGGCUAAUUGGACUUGUAAAGAAACGUACUCGCCUUUACAUGGGCAACCGGGUAGAGCUUCAACACCCCUGAAAGCACAGGUAGGUGAGAAGGCUGAAGCUCCCGCUCUGAGAAAUGAAUGGCGACGUGCAGCUCCAGGUCCUGAGCACUGAGGCUGGGAGACACGCAGACGUGGAAGUAGGAACCAGAGGGGAGCCCGGGCUGAGCGGUGGGAUGGGACUGCCACAUCGCUCAGAUGCCUUUUCCCAUGGAAACUGCUUUGUGUUCGGUCCAACGAAGCUCCUCCUGCCUGGGCAGCAGGAGGCCAUGGGCCCCUGGCUUACGGCUAUAUCCCCAGCACUUGGAGCUGUGGCUAGCACGUUAGGCACUUGA
rnacentral:lncRNA from 1 species